AUGGCUGAACUGGGACUGCGAGAAGAGGAUCUGGAUGAUGUGCUUUUCGAUGAAACAGCCGCACCCCCGGAGGCGGUGAGAUGGUUGGCAUUGGCUAGGGUGAAUACUCCUAAAACUUACAGCCAAACUUGGUUCUACAGGAACAUGAGAUCGGCUUGGGAUGCUGCUCAAGAAGUCAAGUUCAAACCCCUCGAGAACAAUCUGUACACAGUCCAAUUCUCGUGUCUAGGUGAUUGGAAGAGGGUCAUGAACGAGGGACCCUGGAACUUCAGAGGGGAUGCGGUGAUACUGGUCCCAUACGAUGGCAUCUCAAAACCUUCAACAAUAAGGCUGGAUACAUUGAAUAUAUGGGUACAGAUACAUGAUGUACCACAACUCUAUGCACAUCUGGUGAAGCCGCUGGCGGCAAAGGUUGGGGAGGUUUUGUUCGUUGAAACAAACUCGCUGGAUUUUGUAGGGAAUUUCUAUCGGGUGUGGGUACAGAUUGAUGUCAACCACCCUCUAAAAAUGCAGUUUCAAUGA
rnacentral:rRNA from 1 species